rnacentral:rRNA from 1 species
AACGCUGGCGGUAUGCUUAACACAUGCAAGUCGAACGAAAGCUUUAUGCUUUAGUGGCGAACGGGUGCGUAAUACGUGAGAAUCUGCCCUUAGGAGGAGAAUAACUUCUGGAAACGGUUGCUAAGUCUCCAUAUGCCGAGAGGUAAAAUAGUUUAUACUGCCUAGGGAUGAGCUCACGCCUGAUUAGCUUGUUGGUAAGGUAAUGGCUUACCAAGGCCACGAUCAGUAGCUGGUUUGAGAGAACGAUCAGCCACACUGGGACUGAGACACGGCCCAGACUCCUCCGGGAGGCAGCAGUGAGGAAUUUUCCGCAAUGGGCGAAAGCCUGACGGAGCAAUACCGCGUGAGGGAUGAAGGAUUUUGGUCUGUAAACCUCUUUUCUCAAGAAAGAAGUUCUGACGGUACUUGAGGAAUAAGCAUCGGCUAACUCCGUGCCAGCAGCCGCGGUAAUACGGGGGAUGCAAGCGUUAUCCGGAAUCAUUGGGCGUAAAGCGCCUGUAGGUUGUUUAAUAAGUCUGUUGUUAAAGACUAGGGCUCAACCCUAGGAAAGCAAUGGAAACUACUAGACUUGAGUAUGAUAGGGGUAGAGGGAAUUUCUAGUGUAGCGGUGAAAUGCGUAGAUAUUAGGAAGAACACCGGUGGCGAAGGCGCUCUACUGGAUCAUUACUGACACUCAGAGGCGAAAGCUAGGGUAGCAAAAGGGAUUAGAUACCCCUGUAGUCCUAGCCGUAAACGAUGGAUACUAGAUGUUGCGUUUAUUAUGCAGUAUCGUAGCUAACGCGUUAAGUAUCCCGCCUGGGGAGUACGCUCGCAAGGGUGAAACUCAAAGGAAUUGACGGGGGCCCGCACAAGCGGUGGAGCAUGUGGUUUAAUUCGAUGCAACGCGAAGAACCUUACCAAGGCUUGACAUACUACAAAUUUCUUUGAAAGAGGAAAGUGCCUUCGGGAAUGUAGAUACAGGUGGUGCAUGGCUGUCGUCAGCUCGUGUCGUGAGAUGUUGGGUUAAGUCCCGCAACGAGCGCAACCCUUAUUUUUAGUUGCUAAUUUAUUAGGUUUUCUAGAAAGACUGCCGGUGACAAACCGGAGGAAGGUGAGGAUGACGUCAAGUCAGCAUGCCCCUUAUGCCUUGGGCUACACACGUGCUACAAUGGUUAAGACAAAGAGUUGCGAGCUCGCGAGAGUCAGCUAAUCUCAUAAACUUAGCCUAAGUUCGGAUUGUAGGCUGCAACUCGCCUACAUGAAGUCGGAAUCGCUAGUAAUCGCUGGUCAGCCAUACAGCGGUGAAUCCGU